GGCACCCCAGGUGGUUCCCUCUUAUAAUCUAUGCAUGAUCAAUCUUCUCAUUGAGCAUUCUGGGAUAGACCAGAUUGUUCCAUGUGAUUAUUCAGGGGGAGUCUGGGUUUUUAUACAAUCCAAAACAGUCUAAAAUGACACUGCAACUGUGAUUCUCUUAUAAUUUUCAAGUUUUACUUUUAUUUAUCAUUUGAUAUAUUUGUACCUUCAAUAAAAUUAAUGUAAAAAUAAAAUGAUGAUGGCUUUGAUAUUUUGGGAUCACCCCUGUUUCACAUUAUGAUUGCCCCUUCAGUUAUACUGUUGAAAAAUUUGAAUCUCAGACAUUAAUGGGUCAAGUGGUUAUAGUUGGAAGUAGUGCAAACCUGGAUUUAUUUUAAGCAAUUUUGGACAUAUCUUGUUUUAAAUGUUAGGGAGCAUAUUUUGGAAUUUUCAAAGAAAACAUUUAUCUAAGUGUGACAAGAUUCAGGAAAUGUUUGGUUGUUGUAAUUGAACCUAAAGAUCAAUUACCUGGGACAGGAAGAUAAACAAAAGAAACAUGAUAGUAAAAAGGUUCAGAGUCAGCUUGUAAGCAAGUUUGCAAGACUGUUCCAAACUACAAGAAGAUGGCAAUCCAGCUUUGCUGUGUUUUAUCAUAGUAUAUCAUUGGCAUCCAGGCAUCGAUUAAGGAUACAGAAUUGUAUCCUGGAGCAUUUUCCACAUGUGACCCCUGUGAUGGUGAGGGAAAAACUAAGGGACAUUUAAAAAUCAUGAAGAGUGAACAGGAAUUCAAAAGAUAGAUAUUUGAAUACAUUAAAAUUUAACCGGAUACCAAAAAAUUAUAACUGAACAUUGAGUGUAAUAUUUGCCAUUAAAGACUUCUAACUUAACUUUUCAUUUGUAGUGCAUUACUAUUUACUUCACACUGACAUUAAAUGUUUAAGUGAGUCAUGUGAUCAUUUUUUGCUCUGUAUUAUUACAAAGAAGUUUCUUAAUUCCUUAAAAGGACAAUAUAAUUGCUCUUUUCAGAA